UACAGAGGUCUCAAGCGUUGUUCGGAUUCAUUGGGCGUAAAGGGUGCGUAGGUGGCGUCGUAAGUCGGGGUGUGAAAUUUCGGAGCUUAACUCCGAAACUGCAUUCGAUACUGCGGUGCUUGAGGACUGGAGAGGAGACUGGAAUUUACGGUGUAGCGGUGAAAUGCGUAGAUAUCGUAAGGAAGACCAGUGGCGAAGGCGGGUCUCUGGACAGUUCCUGACGCUGAGGCACGAAGGCCAGGGGAGCAAACGGG
rnacentral:rRNA from 1 species